rnacentral:rRNA from 1 species
GAUCCGAUGGGGUAUUGUUGCCUUGUCGAGGAGCUUCCCGGAAACGAAAGUCUUUCGGUUCCUGGGGUAGUAUGGUUGCAAAGCUGAAACUUAAAGAAAUUGACGGAAUGGCACCACCAGGAGUGGAGCCUGCGGCUUAAUUUGACUCAACACGGGAAAACUCACCCGGCCCGGACACCGUAAGGAUUGACAGAUUGAAAGCUCUUUCUCGAUUUGGUGGUUGGUGGUGCAUGGCCGUUCUUAGUUGGUGGAGCGAUUUGUCUGGUUUAUUCCGAUAACGAGCGAGACUCUAGCCUGCUAAAUAGUGACUAGAUUUUUAUGUCUAGUCUACUUCUUAGAGGGAUAAGCGGUGUUUAGCCGCACGAGAUUGAGCGAUAACAGGUCUGUGAUGCCCUUAGAUGUCCGGGGCUGCACGCGCGCUACAAUGGAAGAAUCAGCUGGCCUAUCCAUUGCCGAAAGGUAUUGGUAAACCGUUGAAACUCUUCCGUGACCGGGAUAGGGAAUUGUAACUAUUUCCCUUGAACGAGGAAUUCCUAGUAAGUGUGAGUCAUCAGCUCACGCUG